CCUACGGGUGGCAGCAGUGAGGAAUAUUGGUCAAUGGACGAGAGUCUGAACCAGCCAAGUAGCGUGAAGGAUGACUGCCCUAUGGGUUGUAAACUUCUUUUAUAUGGGAAUAAAAUGUUCCACGUGUGGGAUUUUGUAUGUCCCCUAUGAAUAAGGAUCGGCUAACUCCGUGCCAGCAGCCGCGGUAAUACGGAGGAUCCGGGCGUUAUCCGGAUUUAUUGGUGUUAACGGGAGCGUAGGUGGGUUGUUAAGUCAGUUGUGAAAGUUUGCGGCUCAACCGUAAAAUUGCAGUUGAAACUGGCAGUCUGGAGGACAGUAGAGGUGGGCGGAAUGCGUGGUGUAGCGGUGAAAUGCUUAGAUAUCACGAAGAACUCCGAUUGCGAAGGCAGCUCACUGGACUGCAACUGACACUGAGGCUCGAAAGUGUGGGUAUCAAACAGGAUGAGAUACCCGUGUAGUC
rnacentral:rRNA from 1 species